GAAAAACCUUUUGGAGAUAGUGCA
rnacentral:siRNA from 1 species